GAUGAACGCUGGCGGCGUGCCUAAUACAUGCAAGUCGAGCGAACAGACGAGGAGCUUGCUCCUCUGACGUUAGCGGCGGACGGGUGAGUAACACGUGGAUAACCUACCUAUAAGACUGGGAUAACUUCGGGAAACCGGAGCUAAUACCGGAUAAUAUAUUGAACCGCAUGUUUCAAUAGUGAAAGACGGUUUUGCUGUCACUUAUAGAUGGAUCCGCGCCGCAUUAGCUAGUUGGCAAGGUAACGGCUUACCAAGGCAACGAUGCGUAGCCGACCUGAGAGGGUGAUCGGCCACACUGGAACUGAGACACGGUCCAGACUCCUACGGGAGGCAGCAGUAGGGAAUCUUCCGCAAUGGGCGAAAGCCUGACGGAGCAACGCCGCGCGAGUGAUGAAGGUCUUCGGAUCGUAAAACUCUGUUAUUAGGGAAGAACAAAUGUGUAAGUAACUAUGCACGUCUUGACGGUACCUAAUCAGAAAGCCACGGCUAACUACGUG
rnacentral:rRNA from 1 species